AACCAUAGAAACCUGCGGAGUACCUGCGGAAGGAUCAUUACAGAGUUGCAAGACUCCCUAAACCAUUGUGAACCUACCUUCUACCGUUGCUUCGGCGGGCGGGCCCAGCGCCCCCCCGGCCCCCCGCGGGCGCCCGCCGGAGGAUACCCAAACUCUUGACAUUAGUGGCCUCUCUGAGUAUUCUUUACUGAAUAAGUCAAAACUUUCAACAACGGAUCU
rnacentral:misc_RNA from 1 species